rnacentral:rRNA from 1 species
GACGAACGCUGGCGGCGUGCCUAAUACAUGCAAGUAGAACGCAGUUGCGAACGGGUGAGUAACGCGUAGGUAACUGCCUCAUAGCGGGGGAUAACUAUUGGAAACGAUAGCUAAUACCGCAUACUGUGAGAUGGACCUGCGUUGUAUUAGCUAGUUGGUGAGGUAAAGGCUCACCAAGGCGACGAUACAUAGCCGACCUGGGAGGGUGGUCGGCCACACUGGGAAUGGGAACCGGGCCAGACCCCUACGGGAGGGAGCAGGAGGGGAUCUUCGGCAAAGGAGGGAAGUCUGACCGAGCAACGCCGCGUGAGUGAAGAAGGGUUUCGGAUCGUUAAGCUCUGUUGUUAGAGAAGCGGUACCUAACCAGAAAGGGACGGCUAACUACGUGCCAGCAGCCGCGGUAAUUC